GAGCACUCGCUGUCCUGAGGAAGGAACACACAUUUGACUAGACCUUAUCUUCUGUAAAGAUGUGCUGCACAUCAAUUCAUCUCCUCAUUGGUGCCUUACUUGUCUUUGCUAUUGAAAAUGUGGCCACAGCCACGGAAAACAGCACAGAAAAUAACACAGCUCCAGUUUCAGUGCCUUCAUACACCACCACCCAAUUCAAAGAAACAGACUUUACCAUUCCAAACGUCACUGUUACCCUGCCAAACAAGACGGCUGUGAAUACCACAUCAGCAUCAGAACUGCCUACUCCACCUCCCCCAGAACGUCCGCAGACCAACAAUUUCACCACAGGCGAUUCUCUGAAGACCAUUGCACAAUCAAGCACAAUUAAUAUGAUCAAAAGCACAACUAUUAGCAAAGCAACUAUAACUACAGCAGUAAAAACUACAGUUUCGACAACAACGCAAUCGGGGACAAAAACUUUUAUAGUUAUCUUUAUUAUUGCCAUUCUGUGCCUUGCUGGGGUAUUAGUUUAUUGUUGCCUUAAAAAGAAAUCUAGGAAGUACUCUGUGGACUUACAUCCCAAACACGAAGAUGCUCAGAUCCCACUCAGCACAGUGGAUGCAGAGGUGUUUGACACCACAUCAGUCAAAGAAUCAGCUGAUGUUAAACAAGAAAACCAACAGAAUUUAUCCAGCACUCAGGCCACAGAGAACCCAAAGGAUAAAAUGGAGGGGCUGACCGUAGUGGAUCUGACUGAUGGAGAACCGACGAUCUCCACCAAAACCUCAAUGGAAUCCCUAGAUGAUGUUCUCAAUGAAAACAACAGCAACAAUACAAGAGUCAAGGGCAAUGGGCAUGAUUUCACUGAAAUCUCUAUUGAUGCUUUACUUCUAAAAUAAAUCAGGUUCUUCCCAGCAUUUUACAAUGAUCUCUGAACCUGACUGAUGGAUUGUACUGGAACUGGAAGUAACAGCUGAACUAAAUUCAUUGUUAGAACAACCUUGUUUGAAUAUACAUACAGCACUAAGAAAAGUCUGUAAAAACAGGGCCCAAUGUAUUGUGUUAAUGUAAAGGAAUUUUCUGUAUACAUUUUCACUAGUCUUUUACUCAUAUUUUUAAAUGCAUUGUGUUGUUUUAUGGUUAAAAGGAAAUAUACAUAAACUUAAUGGAGUGCAACUUAAUGGAGAAACUUCUGCAGAUUUUUGUUCCUACAUUGUAUUUCAAUUAGCAUACUAUUACCUGUUAUGUUAGAUUUUAAUAUUGUAACUUGUUAAUUAUAAUUUUGUAAAUGUUCAACCAGCUUUUUAUUGUUGUUGGCUGUAUAUGUAAAUGAACAAUGCGUACUUUUUCCAUGUUAUUGCACCCAGAUAUCACAAUUUAUUUUCCAAGCAAAAGGAUGCUUGGAAAAUAACCGAAUAAUGCAAAACAUGUCCCUUUUGACAGCUCCAGGUAUUUUAAUAAAAUUACAGAUUGAUUCUUUGUUUCUUGUAUU
ensembl:lncRNA